AUUGAACGCUGGCGGCAGGCCUAACACAUGCAAGUCGAGCGAGCGGCGGACGGGUGAGUAAUGUCUGGGAAACUGCCUGUUGGCGGGGGAUAAAUACUGGAAACGGUAGCCAAUACCGCAUACCAUCAGAUGUGCCCAGAUGGGAUUAGCUUGUAGGUGGGGUAACGGCUGACCUAGGCGACGACCCCUAGCUGGUCUGAGCGGAUGACCAGCCACACUGGAACUGAGACACGGUCCAGACUCCUACGGUAGGCAGCAGUGGGGAAUAUGGCACAAUGGGCGCAAGCCUGAUGCAGCCAUGCGGCGUGUGUGAAGGAGGCCUUCGGGUUGUAAAGCACUUUCAGCGGGGAGGCGUUACCCGCAGAAGAAGCACCGGCUAACUCCGUGCCAGCAGCCGCGGUAAUAC
rnacentral:rRNA from 1 species